ACGAACGCUGGCGGCGUGCUUAACACAUGCAAGUCGAACGGUGAUCUUGGAGCUUGCUCCAGGUGAGCAGUGGCGAACGGGUGAGUAACACGUGAGUAACCUGCCCCUGACUCUGGAAUAAGCGCUGGAAACGGCGUCUAAUACCGGAUAUGACACUAAGCCGCAUGGCUAUGGUGUGGAAAGUUUUUCGGUCUGGGAUGGACUCGCGGCCUAUCAGCUUGUUGGUGAGGUAAUGGCUCACCAAGGCGAUGACGGGUAGCCGGCCUGAGAGGGCGAUCGGCCACACUGGGACUGAGACACGGCCCAGACUCCUACGGGAGGCAGCAGUGGGGAAUAUUGCACAAUGGGCGAAAGCCUGAUGCAGCGACGCCGCGUGAGGGAUGACGGCCUUCGGGUUGUAAACCUCUUUCAGCAGGGAAGAAGCGAAAGUGACGGUACCUGCAGAAGAAGCACCGGCUAACUACGU
rnacentral:rRNA from 1 species